rnacentral:misc_RNA from 1 species
GAUGAAGAACGCAGCGAAAUGCGAUAAGUAAUGUGGAUUGCAGAAUUCAGUGAAUCAUCGAAUCUUUGAACGCACCUUGCGCUCCUUGGUAUUCCGAGGAGCAUGCCUGUUUGAGUGUCAUUAAUAUAUCAACCUUCUCUUUUUUGAGUUGUUUGGAUGUGGGGGUUUGCUGGCCUCUUAAAUGAUUCAGCUCCCCUGAAAUGCAUUAGCAGAACAACCUGUUCAUUAGCGUGAUAAUUAUCUAUGCUAUUGAAUGUGAGGGCAGUUCAGCUUUCUAACCGUCCUUGGACAAUUCAUCAUUAAUGUGACCUCAAAUCAGGUAGGACUACCCGCUGAACUUAAGCAUAUCAAUAAGCGGAGGA